rnacentral:rRNA from 1 species
AGAAGAAGCGCCGCCUAAUUACGUGCCAGCAGCCGCGGUAAUACGUAGGGUGCAAGCGUUGUCCGGAAUUAUUGGGCGUAAAGAGCUCGUAGGCGGCUUGUCACGUCGGUUGUGAAAGCCCGGGGCUUAACCCCGGGUCUGCAGUCGAUACGGGCAGGCUAGAGUUCGGUAGGGGAGAUCGGAAUUCCUGGUGUAGCGGUGAAAUGCGCAGAUAUCAGGAGGAACACCGGUGGCGAAGGCGGAUCUCUGGGCCGAUACUGACGCUGAGGAGCGAAAGCGUGGGGAGCGAACAGGAUUAGAUACCCUGGUAGUCCACGCCGUAAACGGUGGGCACUAGGUGUGGGCAACAUUCCACGUUGUCCGUGCCGCAGCUAACGCAUUAAGUGCCCCGCCUGGGGAGUACGGCCGCAAGGCUAAAACUCAAAGGAAUUGACGGGGGCCCGCACAAGCGGCGGAGCAUGUGGCUUAAUUCGACGCAACGCGAAGAACCUUACCAAGGCUUGACAUACACCGGAA